GGAGGCGCCGCGGUGGUACGUGACGUAGGCGGAUCGGUAGACGCCACUUCUUCGGCAGGGAGACGAUAGGUUUUGCCGCGUGGCGGAAGCGACGGGUCCGAAGGCGGGCCCGAUUCAUUCGACUCUCCGGCACAAUUUACCAGAAUCGAACGGUAGAAGAUGGAGACGAAGUACAACAUGAAGAGUCCGGCUGUUAAAAGAUUAAUGAAGGAAGCAAUGGAAUUGAGAAAUCCUACAGAAGAAUAUUAUGCACAACCACUUGAAGAAAAUCUCUUUGAAUGGCAUUUCACGGUUAGGGGUCCACCCGAAACUGACUUUGACAGUGGUCUUUAUCAUGGAAGAAUUGUACUACCUCCCGAAUAUCCCAUGAAACCACCGAGUAUAAUUCUUCUGACUCCAAAUGGAAGAUUUGAAAUUCAAAAAAAAAUCUGCCUUAGUAUAUCUGGCCAUCAUCCUGAAUCAUGGCAACCAUCUUGGUCCAUACGCACGGCCUUACUUGCAAUAAUUGGUUUUAUGCCCACACAUGGGAAUGGAGCCAUUGGUUCUCUGGACUACACUCCUGCGGAAAGGAAGAUAUUAGCUAAACAUUCGCAUUCUUGGUCGUGCAGUCACUGCGGGCCCAUCGCGGGACUGCUGUUGGAGAGGUCUCGGGGACCGGAAACUGCUGCCACUUCCAAAGAAGCUCGCGAGCUGGCCACGCAGAUAUCUUUUAAGGAAGAGAGACUACGCGAGAAGUGGUUACGAGACGAAUGAUAACCGACCGAGAAUGCCGGUCGGCCUUUGGAUUUCUCCCGCAAUGUUAUACAACGGUCACGUCGUUGUCGUCGUACGAGUUGUUUCGUGUAAAUCAUUGCCCAGAAAUUGCAUAUCUAAUAAAAGUGAAUGAUUUUGGCUAAAUACCACAAGGUGAGAAAAAUAUAAAAUCACGUCAAGGAUUACGCUGCAGUGUAUGUUACAACGUAUUUCCCACAAAAUACAAGUUGGUGUGUCACACCAGGGUUCACACGGGAGAAAAGCCAUUUCAGUGCGAGAUCUGCGGCAAUAAAUUCGGUCAGAAAGCGUAUUUAGUCAACCACCAGAGAGUUCACACGGGACUGAAGCCCUUCGAGUGUCGAGACUGCGGCCAGAAAUUCAGAGAUUCUCCCUCCCUGAGAAAGCAUCACCGCACUCACACCGGCGAGAAACCCUUCGAGUGCUCUGUCUGCUCGGCCAAGUUCAGUCGCAAGGAAAGCCUGAAGAUUCACUUACGAAGUCACACGGGCGACAGACCCUUCGUCUGUAACGUGUGCGGAAUGGCGUUUAUGAGCGGGUCUCACAGGAGAAGACACGAAUUGCGGCACGUGAAAAAAGAAAAGUGAAUUCCGAAAGAUCCGAAUUAAAUACUGAAUUAAAAUUUUAUAAUGUUCAUAUUCCUCUGUGUUAAGAAUUUCGAAAUAUUCUCCGCAUUGUAACAGACUUGACUUUGAAGAAUACCAAUGUAAGUACACGGAAAAUAAGGUAAUACGUAAUAAAUAUUUCCCCUUUUAU
rnacentral:misc_RNA from 1 species